AUGCGGUGGGAAGAAGUGGCAUUUAGAAGUGUUGCUGACUUUACAUUUAGGUUUCGGCAUAACAAAGCUUGCACUGUCUUUUCGCACUUAGGCGCACAGCGUGCCGUUGGUAAUGAUUCUACUACGGUGCUGCAAAUUCGCAAGCUGAUCCUAAGUAAUCGUUGUUGUUCAUUGGAUUCCUCCGGAAUUACUUCGUUAGGAUUGAAGAAUUGCUGCAAUGCUUCCUGA
rnacentral:rRNA from 1 species